AAUGAACGCUGGCGGCGUGGUUAAGACAUGCAAGUCGAACGGUUUUUUGGUGUAGCAAUAUAUUGAAAAGGCAGUGGCGAACGGGUGCGUAACACGUGAACAAUCUACCUUUUAGUGUGGAGUAGCUCGUCGAAAGGCGAAUUAAUACCGCAUGUGAUUGAUGUCCUCCUGGAUGUCAUAUUAAAGUCGGGGACCGCAAGGCCCGACGCUAGAAGAGGAGUUCGCGGCCUAUCAGCUAGUUGGUGAGGUAACGGCCUACCAAGGCUAAGACGGGUAGCCGGUCUGAGAGGAUGAUCGGCCACACUGGAACUGAGACACGGUCCAGACACCGACGGGUGGCAGCAGUUUCGAAUCAUUCACAAUGGGCGAAAGCCUGAUGGUGCGACGCCGCGUGAGGGAUGAAGGUCUUCGGAUUGUAAACCUCUGUCACUGGGGAAGAAACGCUAAGUCCUAAUACGGCUUAGCCUGACUUAACCCGGAGAGGAAGCAGUGGCUAACUCUGUGCCAGCAGCCGCAGUAAAAC
rnacentral:rRNA from 1 species